rnacentral:misc_RNA from 1 species
GGGAAAAUGGAAAAGGACCCAGGUAGGUGGGUAGGUGGGGGCUAUUAAGAGGUUUCAGACAGGUGGCAAACUUUCUGAGGACUGGACGUCCUACGUGGCAUACAGGUGGUCUUGGUCUUUGAAUGGCAUUUUGACCUGGACGAGACAAGUGGGCUAAGGCUGAGUUGACCUUGACAGUUGCGCAUAUCUGCCAUUGGAUUGGAUUUUCAUUUUUAAUUAUGCGAAAAAAUAUUUAAAAAUA